GGGCGACUCCCCCGGGGCGGGGGUGGCGUGUGGUCUCUAGACAACUGAGGGAAAGUAGACAGACCGUGCUCACCGAUUUAAAAGAACAGCCGUGAAAUGACCCCCGUUACACCCUGUUCUCUUUAGACAAGUGACUUCCACCUGGAGCGGUUUCUAGGCCCGGGUAUGGGGAUUUCUUCACCCGGCCCCCUAGGCUUUCACCUCGGUGGAAUUUCCCGCGCCCCCGCUGGGAUGAUUUAGGGACUGUUGGCUAGAACUGCCCUUGCCUACCGCCCUGCUGCGGGCGCUCCCCUGUCUGGGGGGUGCUUGGCUGGGUGUGGAGAAGGAUCAAUCACAGCUGACUCCUCAGAGGUGACAGCCCCUGCCCCCUUAAAAACAAGAAAAGACCUAGCAGUGUGAAGCCAAACUGUACCCCCAGCCCCGGUGACAUGAGGAAACCGUGAGGCGCUCAGCCUGAGGUUCAUCGUUCAUCUCCUUCCUGCUUGGAAUCAGAAUGUCCUCACUGCUGAGUUUCUCCGUUUUAUGGGAUUACAUUAGUGGACAAAGGAGGAAGUCCCAGCCAGGAACACAGAAAGGAUAUGGAGAAAAUUAUUAUUCUGCCCCUACAGUUUCGGUGACCCAGAUGGGAUCUCUGGGACACCCUGCCUGCUCUACAAUUGGGAUCCCUCGAAAAGUGACAGAAUCUGGCAACAGAUGAGUAAGAAAGGUCACUUCCUGGCAGACAUCAGGUAUAUUGGGGACAUCAAGAAAAGAAUAAUUCAUCAAAGUCUAUAGAUAUUGCAGGCAAAGUUGAAACAAGCAAGACAAGUUCUCUUUGUAUUCUUGAGAGACUUGGAAAGUCUAACCUGAGAUUCCUUAUUAAAAGUUCCAGCAAAACAGACUUAAAAAGAGCCUAUAUGAUUUUUUUUUAAUUAAAAAGUAAACUUUAAUGUCGAAAAUGCAAACUUGGGGAAGACAGAAAAGAUCACAAACAAGGCUGUCACGUCACACUUGGAAGGUUGCACAGCGGCCAGGCAGAGGUACUCCUCACUUCCCAGAUGGGGCGACGGCUGGGCAGUGGCACUCCUCACUUCCCAGAUGGGGUGGCCGGGCAGAGGUGCUCCUCAUUUCCCAGACAGUGGGGCGGCUGGGCAGCGGCGCUCUUCACUUGCCAGACAGGGCGGCAGCUGGGCAGACGCACUCCUCACAUCCCAGAUGGGGCAGUGGCCAGGCAGAGGCACUCCUCACUUGCCAGACGGUGGGCAGCCGGGCAGAGAUGCUCCUCACUUCCCAGACAGGGCGGCAGCUGGGCAGAGGCGCUCCUCACUUCCCAGAUGGGGCAGUGGCCAAGAGCCUAUAUGACUAAUCACUACUCUUGUUGUACUUAAUCAGGGCAAGUAUAAAGAGACUAGACUUAUUUUGCAAAUUAGUCUUUACUGUGACUAUCUUUGGUAGAAAUGGAGGUGACAGAGAGAAAUAUUAUGUUUUAGUAAAAAAACUAUCAUGCACCUGUAAAAAGUAAAGUAGAGGUUCCUCUUCAAAGACUUUCCUCCCCAUCUGAUUAGGAACAAAUAGUAACUUCUCUUAGAAGCAAAAUUUAUUCAAAGACCCGUGCUAACAUUCUUAAAUAUCUGCUAGCCGUAAUAAAGAAAUCAAUGUACUUUAUGUUCUUAGCUCCCACAAUUUAGCCUAAAUAUUUGCCCUGGCAUGCUUAUACUGGUCCAAGAAAGCAUUAGGUCAUAGCCUGUUCUUCUUCCUUAUUCAAAGGUGUUUUUACCUUUCUCAGCAUUCCACGUUACCUCCUCCUUCCUUUGUUCUCCUCUGCCUUUGCCUCUUUUAAAAAGUUCUGAGUUGCUAGAAUACAGAAUGUGAGGUCCUGUUGCAGCCAAUGGAAACUGGGCACAGCAGUAGGGUGGAUGCGUCAGGGUAUAAAUGACCCUGACUCCUUUGCUCGGUGUACUCUAGUGGCAAAACUGCUGGCGAGUGUACCCUUUCUGCAGAAAGUAUACAAAUGGCCUUGCUGAGUAAAUUAAAUUUAUGUUCAAGUGCUAUUUCUUUACAGCACCAGGGAACAAGCAUUUCAAACACACCUGUGACUAGAUUCUAGUUCUGUUCAUUGUCUUUGAAGUUUUAUUAUUUACCUGCAAACUGGACUGGAUCCCCAAUUCUAGUUUCCUCCAAUAUCUGGUUAUGACUCUCCAAACUAACAUUGCAAUUUUUUUCCGACCCUUCUGACUUGGAAUCACUAAGAACAAACUGCUCUUUUCAUGAAGCUGCAAAAGCUGAAGCUGCUUGACUUGAUAUUAACUUCAGAGUGUCGAUGAAGAGUCAGACUGUUUGAUUGAUGAUCCAAUCAAACAUUUGAUUGAUGUCAAAUGUAUUCAUCAUCAAUCAAAUACAUUUGAGAAAUACAUUGGUCUUGUCCAGAAAGACAAGACAACUCAAAGCAGGGGCUUUCAGGCUAUAGGUUAAUUGAAACAUUUUCUGGUUGAAAAUUGGUUGAAUUUGUCUAAGACCUGCGAUGAUAGAAAGGAAAUGUUCAGGUUAAGAUAAAAGAUUGUGGAGACCAAGGUUCUUUUGAAGUCUUAUAGUGGCUGCCCUUAGAGACAAUAGAUGAUAAAUUUUCCUAUUCAGAUCUUUAAAAGGUGCUAGACUCUUCAUUAAUCUCUUCAGGAUUGGAAGGGCCUGGGAGAAAAAGAUCUAGCUUUGUUAAUAGAGAUUCUUUACAGAUACAAAUUUUCCCCCACAAAGGACAGCUUUGCAGGGCCAUUUCAAAAUAUGGCAAAGAAACAUGUUUUGGGUUAAAAUAUUUUAACUUUCUUCUUUGUCAUGUUAUGCUAGAGUCAGAUUGGAAAGUACGUCACAAUACAUAGGGUUAAAUAAAACCCAUCUGAUGAGAAUUUAUGGUUUGUAGAGGAAUGACCCCUUUGUACUUUUUAAGGUAUGAUGAUUCAUUUGGAAUUUCCUUUUGUAUGAGGAAUGAGGAAGAGAUUCAGCACUAUUUCUUUUCCCCAGUGGGCUAGCUUAUUAUUCCAGACAUUUAUUUAAAAAUCUAUCUUGGCUGGGUGCAGUGGCUCACGCCUGUAAUCCCAGCACAUUGGGAGGCCAGCACAGGAGGAUUGCUUGAGCUCAGGAGUUCAAGACCAGCCUCAUCAACCUAGUGAGGCUUGGUCUUUACCAAAAAUUAAAAAAAUUAGCUGGGUGUGGUGGCACACACCUGUAGUCCCAGCUAUUAGUGAGGUGGUGUUGCUCAUCUGGGGUAAUACCUGAGGUUCAUUGCCUCACACCAAGGAAAUAGAGGAUGCAGACACACGCAGGAGUGAGUUUAAGAGCAGAGGUUUAAUAGGCAAAAGAAAGAGAAUAGCUGUCUCUCCUACAGAGAGAGAGGGACUCCUGAGUGGGUCAUCCGGUUCUUUGGUGGAAUGCAUGGGUUUUAUAGAGGAGCUUGAGGAGGCAGUGUCUGAUUUACAUAGGGCACAAGACCUUGGUCGGACCAGGUGUGCCAUUUGCAUAGUGCAAAGAAACUGGCCAUCCCACCCUAAUCUUUUAUUAUGCAGAUGGGGUCUCUACCUGGCCAGUGCCAUGUCACCUGCUCUUUUACUGCAUAUGUGGGGACAAAGAAAAGGGAAGAUGGAGCCUCCAUGUUGAACAUGCCUGGCCUCCAGGUAGCCUUUUCCUAUUGGCACAGCAGCCAGCAUUCACUUAUGCGAGCUUCCAGCUUGCUUAUCUAUGUCUGCAGCUUGAUUUUACAGGCUCUCAGUCUGCCUUAUGCCCCUUGGAUGAAUUCUUUCCUCUGAAGAGGCAAGAAAUGAGGUUGCUACAAACCUGUAUGGAUUUGUCACUGCUAACAAUCUCUCCAUUUGUUACUUUUCUUUUUUUUUUUUUUUUGAGAUGGAGUCUUGCUCUAUUGCCUAGGCUGGAGUGCAGUGACACAAUCUCAGCUCACGGCAACCUCUGCCCCAGGUUCAAGUGAUUCUCCUGUCUCACCCUCCCUAGUAGCUGGGAUUACAGGUGUCUGCCACCAUGCCCGGCUAAUUUUUGUAUUUUUAGUAGAUGUAGAAAGUAAAAAGUUUCCUCUUCAAAGUUUUCCUUCUUGUUAAAGAAUAAAUCAUAAGUGUUAGGAAAAAUAGUUUCUUUUAAAGAGUAACUUUCUUCAAGCCUCCUUGCUUUGUGCUAAUAACUCUUUGUUAAACCCUAUCCUGUGUAACUGUUGGACAUGCUCACAGGCACGUUCCAGCUCACAGCCUAUGACCCUUCCUUAUAUGGAAAUGUUAUUGCUUCCUUAAACCUUCUGUAAGCAACUUCUUUGUUCUUCCCUGUACUAACCUAUUGAGGAAAGUUUUAGGCUAUUAGCAAAUCGGGUAUCAGUUUAAGAUUGUGAGGUCCUGCUCCAGCCAAUGGAUGCAGGAUACAGCAGUAGAGACGACCCAAAUGCUUAAGGGAUAACUAUGUCUGCUUUUCCUUUGUUCGAGUGUGCUCUCGCCAUUGUUCCAUCUGUGAGUGAGCAUCCUUUCUGCAGAAAGUAAAGAUGGCCUUGCUGAGAGAUCUUUUGUCUCUGUGCUUUCUUUUCUUCAUAGCACCGAUGAUCUAUUUCUAACAAUUUUGG